UACGUAGGGUGCGAGCGUUAAUCGGAAUUACUGGGCGUAAAGCGUGCGCAGGCGGUUUUGUAAGUCAGAUGUGAAAUCCCCGGGCUUAACCUGGGAACUGCGUUUGAAACUACAAGGCUAGAGUGUGGCAGAGGGGGGUGGAAUUCCACGUGUAGCGGUGAAAUGCGUAGAGAUGUGGAGGAACACCGAUGGCGAAGGCAGCCCCCUGGGUUAACACUGACGCUCAGGCACGAAAGCGUGGGGAGCAAACAGG
rnacentral:rRNA from 1 species